AGAGUUUGAUCAUGGCUCAGAACGAACGCUGGCGGCGUGGAUAAGACAUGCAAGUCGAGCGCUAAUUACAGGGUAGCAAUAUUCUGUAGUUGGAGCGGCGCAAGGGUGCGUAACACGUGGGUAAUCUGCCAUGAAGUUUGGGAUAACUCGCUGAAAGGCGAGCUAAUACCGAAUGUGACGAUUGGAAGGCAUCUUCUGAUCUUCAAAGCUGGGGACCGUAAGGCCUGGCGCUUCAUGAUGAGCCCGCGGCCUAUCAGCUAGUUGGUGAGGUAACGGCUCACCAAGGCUAAGACGGGUAGCUGGUCUGAGAGGACGACCAGCCACACUGGAACUGAGACACGGUCCAGACACCUACGGGUGGCAGCAGUCGAGAAUUUUUCACAAUGGGGGAAACCCUGAUGGAGCGACGCCGCGUGGGGGAUGAAUGGCUUCGGCCCGUAAACCCCUGUCAUUCGAGAACAAAUUGGUUCACUUAAUACCUGAACCAUUGAUAGUACCGGAAGAGGAAGGGACGGCUAACUCUGUGCCAGCAGCCGCGGUAAUACAGAGGUCCCAAGCGUUGUUCGGAUUCACUGGGCGUAAAGGGUGCGUAGGCGGUCGGGUAAGUCUGAUGUGAAAUCUCACAGCUUAACUGUGAAACUGCAUUGGAUACUAUUCGGCUUGAGAGUUGGAGGGGGGACUGGAAUUCUUGGUGUAGCAGUGAAAUGCGUAGAUAUCAAGAGGAACACCAGUGGCGAAGGCGAGUCCCUGGACAACUUCUGACGCUGAGGCACGAAAGCUAGGGGAGCAAACAGGAUUAGAUACCCUGGUAGUCCUAGCCGUAAACGGUGCUUAUUUGCUGUAAAAGGAAUCGACCCCUUUUGUGGCGUAGCAACGCGUUAAAUAAGCCGCCUGGAAGUACGGUCGCAAGAUUAAAACUCAAAGAAAUUGACGGGGCCUGCACAAGCGGUGGAGUAUGUGG
rnacentral:rRNA from 1 species